rnacentral:misc_RNA from 1 species
CGGAGUCUCAAGGCCGACUGGCCAGUGGGCGCCUGCGCGUAGGGUCGGCCACUCGGCGGGGCGCGUGCGCGAGCCGGCGCGGGACCGUCCGAGCCUUGGCGUCCCUCACAAGGCAUUCGCGUGUGCGCCUCCCUAGCGUGCGGAGGCGCCUGGAACCUUGGGAGUGGUGCAGUGUUGCACAGUUGCUACCACCCACGCAGUCCCUUAGCAGGUCUGGGUGGCGACACUGCCAGACCAGUGUGUGUCAGUGGCUCAAGUCAAGAUUGAUCAGAAUGUGUGAGCUCCGUGGUCUUACAGGCAAAGUAGCGGCCUAAGGUCUCGCUGGAGGUGCAUAUAGUGGACUAUAUGUGGCCUGCGAGGCGCCAGUGCCGUCGCCUCGCUCUUUCCUGCAGGAUACGUGCGUCGCGGCCUCCUCGCCUCUCCUGAAAAUUGUGACGUUUCGACUUUUGAAAGAGAAAAUAUUGAAAAGGAAACAGAGAGAGAGAAGGAGAAAGAGGGAGAAGGAGAGAUGGAAUAAUGGAAAGAAAAUUCGAGAUGGAGGCACGUUGUUUUAAAAGAUGACUUUCCACACAACACCAUCCCAUACGACCCCACCUGCCUUCCCUCACAGCACAAAAAUUAUACGAUUUCGCCUUUGAAAUUUCUCGUACGACAUUCCCACAAUGGCCGGCCACCAUUAGGGCUCGCGAGGGAGAGGAAGAGAGGAAGAAAUCCGUCCAGGAUGCUUAGGAAGACAGUGCCAACGCUGCAUAAACGAGGGAGUUCUUAAUGACAGCUACACCGGCGCUGCUGAGACCACCUGCUGGGGAGACCGCUCAGCUAUAGCGACCUGGGAGGGGGUAGAGGGGAGGCUGGGGUGGAGGCAGAUUAGGGAGUAGAGAGAGGGGGAAGGAAUAGGAACAGGGAGAGAGAGGAAGAAGAGAGUAUGGGAAGGAGGGAGGGCGGAGAGAUAUAACGUGAAGAAAGUGGUGUUUUUGGUGAGAGAGAGAGAGAGAGAGAGAGAGAGAGAGUGAAAGAGGAGAGAGAGAGAGAGAGAGAGAGAGAGAGAGAGAGAGAGAGAGAGAGAGAGAGAGAGAGAGAGAGAGAGAGAGAGAGAGAGAGAGCGUGUGUGUUUGUAUAUGCGUGUGCGUGCGCGUGUGUAUGACUCUAAAACACUACCCGCACGCAGGCGCCCAGCCGGUGUGCCAGAGAUAACCCGUGAACGCCAGCCUAUCGUGAGAGCCUUAUUGCAGGACGCCUGUUACCGGCUGUCUGUCAGAUAUCGACUCCCCUUUCCCCUCACUCCCCCUUGCCCCUCCUCCCCUCUUUUCCCCUUCCUCCUUCC